UCUACGGGGGGCAGCAGUGGGGAAUAUUGGACAAUGGGGGGAACCCUGAUCCAGCCAUGCCGCGUGUGUGAAGAAGGCCCUCGGGUUGUAAAGCACUUUCAGUGAGGAAGAACGCCUGGUGGUUAAUACCCAUCAGGAAAGACAUCACUCACAGAAGAAGCACCGGCUAACUCCGUGCCAGCAGCCGCGGUAAUACGGAGGGUGCGAGCGUUAAUCGGAAUUACUGGGCGUAAAGCGCGCGUAGGUGGCUUGAUAAGCCGGUUGUGAAAGCCCCGGGCUCAACCUGGGAACGGCAUCCGGAACUGUCAAGCUAGAGUGCAGGAGAGGAAGGUAGAAUUCCCGGUGUAGCGGUGAAAUGCGUAGAGAUCGGGAGGAAUACCAGUGGCGAAGGCGGCCUUCUGGACUGACACUGACACUGAGGUGCGAAAGCGUGGGUAGCAAACAGGAUUAGAUACCCCUGUAGUC
rnacentral:rRNA from 1 species